CCCGGUGCGUCACCUUUCACGGGAGCGCGUGUCACUGAACUCCGGCUGCAGGUCCAAAAUCUUGAGGGGGAUGAAGUGUGCUGUCAGCAUAUUGGAAACGCUAAACCGGCUUGUAGGAGGCAGGGAGCUGAGUGAGUCUCUCAACGAAUAUGUAAUGCAACACCAACUCUGAUUCUGCUGAGACCUGCGAAUGAAAGCUCAGGAGGUGCAGAGAUCCAUGUGAGCCGCUCUGUUAAAACUUGCAGGCAGGGCUCUUAUACUUCUGUCACUGCACCCGAAUGUAGAUGUAAAGCACAGUCUCACAUUCGCUGGCAAAACGACAGAUGGAUAUGAGAGCUGGAAGUGAGUUGGCACCGUUAUGCUGUAUGUCCUCGUUUUACUUGUCAUGUCAUGCAGAAACAAAUUUAAAAACCUCUAGAUAGUUGCACUUUUAGAUGGUGAUUUUGCUUGUUUACUUUUGACAAUGAAUAAAAAUAGUGCAGACAAUUUAAUGAAA